CCGUAACUAUAACGGUCCUAAGGUAGCGAAAUUCCUUGUCGGGUAAGUUCCGACCCGCACGAAAGGCGUAAUGAUUUGAGCGCUGUCUCGACAAUGCACCCGGUGAAAUUGAAAUACCAGUGAAGAUGCUGGUUACCUGCGCCAGGACGGAAAGACCCCAUGGAGCUUUACUCCAGCUUGAUACUGGGAUUCGAUAUUGCAUGUACAGGAUAGGUGGGAGACUGAGAACUGAUGACGCCAGUUGUCAGGGAGUCACUGUUGGGAUACCACCCUUGUAGUAUUGGAUUUCUAACCAGCAGCCGUGAACCGGCUGGGGGACAAUGUCAGGUGGGGAGUUUGACUGGGGCGGUCGCCUCCGAAAGGGUAUCGGAGGCGCUCAAAGGUUCCCUCAGAAUGGUUGGAAACCAUUCGAAGAGUGCAAAGGCAGAAGGGAGCUUGACUGCGACACCGACGGGUGGAGCAGGUACGAAAGUAGGACUUAGUGAUCCGGUGGUAUAAAGUGGGAUUGCCAUCGCUCAACGGAUAAAAGCUACCCUGGGGAUAACAGGCUUAUCACUCCCAAGAGUUCACAUCGACGGAGUGGUUUGGCACCUCGAUGUCGGCUCAUCGCAUCCUGGGGCUGUAGCAGGUCCCAAGGGUUGGGCUGUUCGCCCAUUAAAGCGGUACGCGAGCUGGGUUCAGAACGUCGUGAGACAGUUCGGUCCCUAUCUGUCGUGGGCGCAGGAUAUUUGAUGGGAGCUGUCCCUAGUACGAGAGGACCGGGACGGACGUACCUCUGGCGCACCAGUUGUUCCGCCAGGAGCAUAGCUGGGCAACUACGUACGGAUCGGAUAAACGCUGAAAGCAUCUAAGCGUGAAGCCGACCCAAAGAUAAGAUAUCCCACUGAUUUGAUCAGGUAAGACCCCUUGAAGACUACAAGGUCGAUAGGCACGAUGUGUAAGUGGAGCGAUCCAUUCAGCAAGCGUGUACUAAUAGGUCGAGGGCUUGACCAC
rnacentral:rRNA from 1 species